GUAUAUUUAAUACUCAUAUUUUGUGUAAAUAAUACACGUAUCCAGCCUCAAAUGACAAACUCAUACAUUUUCAAAAAAGUUAAAUGCCAUUUUACUCUCUGUGGUUUGAAUCAUUUUGCCAGUUUAGUCUAAAGGUUUAAAACGUUGUCAUUUUAAUCCAAAUAGUUUUAAACGUUGUCAUUUUAGUCCACUAGGUUAACUUCAUCUAUUUUUUCUGUUAACGAGAAGAGCAAUUUGGUCAUUUUAUAUGUGAUUCUGUGAAUUAGAAGGGCAAUUCAGUCACGAAUUGCCCUUCUCGUUAACAAAAAAAUGGAUAAAAUAAACUCAGUGGACUAAAAUGACAAUGUUUGAAACUGUUUGGACUAAAAUGACAGACAAUGUUUCAAACCUUUGGACUAAACUACCAAAAUGGCCAAACCACAUGGACUAAAACGACAUUCAACUCUUUUCAAAAAGUAAUACCAAUAACAAACUAUGAGCCUGUCGUUUGUUUUUGCAAAGUAGAUAUAACGAUCAUAUAUAGAUAAUUGGGAUUUUAGUGUCAUCAAUUCAUUUAGAUAAUUAUAUGAGUUAAAAAGGUGUAGAGUGCACGCUCAUUCAAAACUAAAUAUAGUUCUCCAGCUUUGGGCAAAAGUGAGGUCAACUGGGUCGCUCGCACCCCUUUGGGGGGUCCAAGAAGUAGCGGCAAAAAUCGAUUAGCAGAGUUCAAUAUCCCAAUUUAAAUCGGAGAUAAUCAAACGCUAACACAAACUGAAUUUGUAAAUCCAAACGUUUUUAGAAAUGACUUGAGGUAUAAAACGACCACAAGAUCAGCCUUCUUCCCAAUCAAUACCGUCAUCAUCAUCCUCUUCAUCACCUGACAGCUCGGCUGCUUCAACAUUCAAGUCCACCUUGAAAGUCUCGCCUGCAGAUGGUCAAACAGUGGGAGUGUCUUCCCAUUCAACAUCUUCUCCAUCAUCAUCACGUUGUCGUUUUCUAGAACUUGACGGGUCAACAUCUGUUAAGAUGCUAUUGGCUGACAGAUCUUGCUCCCUCUUGGUGGCUUCCUCUUGUUCUUUUUGCCUCUGAAGUAUAGCAGCAUAAUAUGCUUUCACGUACU
rnacentral:lncRNA from 1 species